rnacentral:rRNA from 1 species
GACGAACGCUGGCGGCGUGCUUAACACAUGCAAGUCGAACGGAAAGGCCCUGCUUUUGUGGGGUGCUCGAGUGGCGAACGGGUGAGUAACACGUGAGUAACCUGCCCUUGACUUUGGGAUAACUUCAGGAAACUGGGGCUAAUACCGGAUAGGAGCUCCUGCUGCAUGGUGGGGGUUGGAAAGUUUCGGCGGUGGGGGAUGGACUCGCGGCUUAUCAGCUUGUUGGUGGGGUAGUGGCUUACCAAGGCUUUGACGGGUAGCCGGCCUGAGAGGGGGACCGGCCACAUUGGGACUGAGAUACGGCGCAGACUCCUACGGGAGGCAGCAGUGGGGAAUAUUGCACAAUGGGCGGAAGCCUGAUGCAGCAACGCCGCGUGCGGGAUGACGGCCUUCGGGUUGUAAACCGCUUUCGCCGGUGACGAAGCGUGAGUGACGGUAAUGGGUAAAGAAGCACCGGCUAACUACGUG